ACAGACCGUGGUCCGGACCCAGAAGCUGCCCAAUACGGACCCGGACCUACAGCCCAAACAAAAGGUUCCGAUUUAAAACUUGACGAAGCGCUUCUAUUUUAACCGGCGCAGCUUUUGUAUCUUUACAGUAGUGGUAGUGAAAACACACAGAGCAAUCAAGGGACGAGUGAGACGGAGAAAGGGAGAGAGACAGACGAGUGAGACGGAGAAAGGGAGA